rnacentral:rRNA from 1 species
UACGAGGGGGGCUAGCGUUGUUCGGAAUUACUGGGCGUAAAGCGCGCGCAGGCGGUCCUUCAAGUCAGAGGUGAAAGCCCAGAGCUCAACUCUGGAACGGCCUUUGAGACUAGAGGACUUGGGUACGGGAGAGGUGAGUGGAAUUCCGAGUGUAGAGGUGAAAUUCGUAGAUAUUCGGAAGAACACCAGUGGCGAAGGCGGCUCACUGGCCCGUUACCGACGCUCAGGCGCGACAGCGUGGGGAGCAAACAGG